GCGGCACAGAGGGAAGCCAGGUGGCGACACCGCGCGGAACCCGAAAGCCGUUCUCAGUUCGGAUCGGAGUCUGCAACCCGACUCCGUGAAGCUGGAUUCGCUAGUAAUCGCGCAUCAGCCAUGGCGCGGUGAAUACGUUCCCGGGCCUUGUACACACCGCCCGUCAAGCCAUGGGAGCCGGGGGUGCUUGAAGUGCGUCGCCGCAAGGCGCGCCCUAGAGCAAAACCGGUGACUGGGGCUAAGUCGUAACAAGGUAAC
rnacentral:rRNA from 1 species